rnacentral:rRNA from 1 species
GAUGAACGCUGGCGGCGUGCCUAAUACAUGCAAGUCGAGCGAACGGACGAGAAGCUUGCUUCUCUGAUGUUAGCGGCGGACGGGUGAGUAACACGUGGAUAACCUACCUAUAAGACUGGGAUAACUUCGGGAAACCGUAGCUAAUACCGGAUAAUAUUUUGAACCGCAUGGUUCAAAAGUGAAAGACGGUCUUGCUGUCACUUAUAGAUGGAUCCGCGCUGCAUUAGCUAGUUGGUAAGGUAACGGCUUACCAAGGCAACGAUGCAUAGCCGACCUGAGAGGGUGAUCGGCCACACUGGAACUGAGACACGGUCCAGACUCCUACGGGAGGCAGCAGUAGGGAAUCUUCCGCAAUGGGCGAAAGCCUGACGGAGCAACGCCGCGUGAGUGAUGAAGGUCUUCGGAUCGUAAAACUCUGUUAUUAGGGAAGAACAUAUGUGUAAGUAACUGUGCACAUCUUGAUGGUACCUAAUCAGAAAGCCACGGCUAACUACGUGCCAGCAGCCGCGGUAAUACGUAGGUGGCAAGCGUUAUCCGGAAUUAUUGGGCGUAAAGCGCGCGUAGGCGGUUUUUUAAGUCUGAUGUGAAAGCCCACGGCUCAACCGUGGAGGGUCAUUGGAAACUGGAAAACUUGAGUGCAGAAGAGGAAAGUGGAAUUCCAUGUGUAGCGGUGAAAUGCGCAGAGAUAUGGAGGAACACCAGUGGCGAAGGCGACUUUCUGGUCUGUAACUGACGCUGAUGUGCGAAAGCGUGGGGAUCAAACAGGAUUAGAUACCCUGGUAGUCCACGCCGUAAACGAUGAGUGCUAAGUGUUAGGGGGUUUCCGCCCCUUAGUGCUGCAGCUAACGCAUUAAGCACUCCGCCUGGGGAGUACGACCGCAAGGUUGAAACUCAAAGGAAUUGACGGGGACCCGCACAAGCGGUGGAGCAUGUGGUUUAAUUCGAAGCAACGCGAAGAACCUUACCAAAUCUUGACAUCCUUUGACAACUCUAGAGAUAGAGCUUUCCCCUUCGGGGGACAAAGUGACAGGUGGUGCAUGGUUGUCGUCAGCUCGUGUCGUGAGAUGUUGGGUUAAGUCCCGCAACGAGCGCAACCCUUAAGCUUAGUUGCCAUCAUUAAGUUGGGCACUCUAAGUUGACUGCCGGUGACAAACCGGAGGAAGGUGGGGAUGACGUCAAAUCAUCAUGCCCCUUAUGAUUUGGGCUACACACGUGCUACAAUGGACAAUACAAAGGGCAGCGAAACCGUGAGGUCAAGCAAAUCCCAUAAAGUUGUUCUCAGUUCGGAUUGUAGUCUGCAACUCGACUACAUGAAGCUGGAAUCGCUAGUAAUCGUAGAUCAGCAUGCUACGGUGAAUACGUUCCCGGGUCU